GUGGGGAAUUUUGGACAAUGGGCGAAAGCCUGAUCCAGCAAUGCCGCGUGCAGGAUGAAGGCCCUCGGGUUGUAAACUGCUUUUGUACGGAACGAAAAGCCUGGGGCUAAUAUCCCCGGGUCAUGACGGUACCGUAAGAAUAAGCACCGGCUAACUACGUGCCAGCAGCCGCGGUAAUACGUAGGGUGCAAGCGUUAAUCGGAAUUACUGGGCGUAAAGCGUGCGCAGGCGGUGAUGUAAGACAGAUGUGAAAUCCCCGGGCUCAACCUGGGAACUGCAUUUGUGACUGCACUGCUGGAGUGCGGCAGAGGGGGAUGGAAUUCCGCGUGUAGCAGUGAAAUGCGUAGAUAUGCGGAGGAACACCGAUGGCGAAGGCAAUCCCCUGGGCCUGCACUGACGCUCAUGCACGAAAGCGUGGGGAGCAAACAGGAUUAGAAACCCGUGUAGUCC
rnacentral:rRNA from 1 species